rnacentral:pre_miRNA from 1 species
GUCAUUUCAUGGCGCGAGAACCCGGGUCCCAGUCAUCAAACGUCAUUGCACAUUUGAUUGCUGUGAUCUGGUUUUCCGUGUCGAUGUAUAAC